rnacentral:snoRNA from 1 species
UUGCAAACAGCAGAUGAAUUGUACUGCAAACAGCAGCCUCCUUGGUAGCGUAUGCAGCCUGUUGCCUAUAUGUAUAGCUUACCCUAAGGGACCUUGGAGAUAGCC